rnacentral:rRNA from 1 species
UAAAGGAAGCGAUUCCGGCUACGGAUGGUCAUGCGUCGCAUUAGCUAGUUGGCGGGGUAACGGCCCACCAAGGCGACGAUGCGUAGGGGUUCUGAGAGGAAGGUCCCCCACACUGGUACUGAGACACGGACCAGACUCCUACGGGAGGCAGCAGUGAGGAAUAUUGGUCAAUGGCCGCAGGGCUGAACCAGCCAAGUCGCGUGAGGGAUGACGGCCCUAUGGAUUGUAAACCUCUUUUGUCAGGGAGCAAAGGGCGCCACGUGUGGCGUUUUGCGAGUACCUGAAGAAAAAGCAUCGGCUAACUCCGUGCCAGCAGCCGCGGUAAUACGGAGGAUGCGAGCGUUAUCCGGAUUUAUUGGGUUUAAAGGGUGCGCAGGCGGAAUGUCAAGUCAGCGGUAAAAUUUCGGGGCUCAACCCCGUCGUGCCGUUGAAACUGGCGUUCUUGAGUGAGCGAGAAGUAUGCGGAAUGCGUGGUGUAGCGGUGAAAUGCAUAGAUAUCACGCAGAACUCCGAUUGCGAAGGCAGCAUACCGGCGCUCAACUGACGCUCAUGCACGAAAGCGUGGGUAUCGAACAGGAUUAGAUACCCUGGUAGUCCACGCAGUAAACGAUGAAUACUAACUGUCCGGGCAGAAUGAUGCCUGG